GCGGUGACCUCGGAGAGACCCUUGGCUUCUGUGAAUUCUACCGACGACUUGUGCGAUAUUUAUUUCCGCCCUCGUUCAGUGGAACGAGGUAUACUGAGUUAUUUCAAGAGUUCAUGCGGUUCAUCGAGCUGGAUUUCUCAGUGGGCUUUCUACUUCGUAUAUGGUGAUCAGGUAUUAGUGUGCGCGACCAACGAAAACGCUCUGAUCAAAAAACUUCGUGGGCAUACCCAAGUUAUACCUUGCAGCGAUUGGGAACUACUAAGGCAUCAAAUGAACCUUAUCAAAAAAGGUGCAAAGGUCCCCAUGGACUGUGUAAGGAAUCUAGUGGACAAGAUGAACCUGGAAGAGAAUGAUGGCGAAUAUGACAGCGUCACGAACAACUGCCAAGACUGGAUGAAUCGGAUACUUGAGAGCCUGAAAUGCAUUGAUCCCAGCCUAGCACAAGUUGACUUCGCCACUCAAAUCUCUUCUAGGAGCGAGUCAAUGUAAAGGGUUAAGUUGCUGAAGCCAUCUCAGUACGGUCUCAUAAAGGGAAGUCUACACAGCUUGCACUGCUGAAUAUUGAAGUUAAUGAACGUUGGGAGCACGGACUACACACCUUCUCCCAAGUGCUUGAAACACUUCUCUGUGGAGACGAAAUGAAAGAGAGUGACAGGAAACGACUUUCUGGCUUUUUGAGAGACGACCUCAUUCGUUAUCUCGUACUUCUUUCAUAGCCAAGCUGGACAAGACAAGGAGGGGCAGAAGGCUAAGACGUGAGAGACGUCCCAGAAAAGAUAAUGGGACACAAACUGGCGAUGUUGGCAUAAGCAACUCUUCCAAAGAUGAAGUUGAAACUGAAGUGAUCUCCCUGGAUGAUGCCAUAUCCGAACUAGAGAGCCUCAAGUCUGCCAAUAUUGCAUACGACAUCAAGAGGAUGUCACUGCUGCUUAAGUCUACAGCCUGGAUCAGGGAAGCCCAGCAUGCCAACAUUCUGCCAGCGUAUUUCCUUAACUACCAAGUGGUAAGUAUAUAAACGUUUUAUUUUACUGUCAGUUUCACGUGACGUAUUAGUUAACAAAUACUGUAGUUGUCAUUGGAAGCGGAAGUACGCUUU